AACAGGUGUUGGGCAUGGACUUCAAGUCCGGUGACAUCGAGG
rnacentral:tRNA from 13 species